rnacentral:tRNA from 1 species
GCCGCUGUGGUGAAAUUGGCAAACACGCAGCACUCAAAAUGCUGUGAGCGCAAGCUCUUGACGGUUCAACUCCGUCCAGCGGCA